rnacentral:tRNA from 4 species
GACACUUUGGCCGAGUGGUUAAGGCGAUGCCCUGCUAAGGCAUUAUUCUCUGAAUGCGCAGGUUCGAAUCCUGCAGGUGUCG